AGGACAUUACUGAUUUGCUUAAUUGCACCACAUGUGUUUUUCUUUGAAACAAACUUGCUUUGGCGGUGGGCCCAGCCUGCCGCCAGAGGUCUAAACUUACAACCAAUUUUUUAUCAACUUGUCACACCAGAUUAUUACUAAUAGUCAAAACUUUCAACAACGGAUCUCUUGGUUCUCGCAUCGAUGAAGAACGCAGCGAAAUGCGAUACGUAAUAUGAAUUGCAGAUAUUCGUGAAUCAUCGAAUCUUUGAACGCACAUUGCGCCCUCUGGUAUUCCGGAGGGCAUGCCUGUUUGAGCGUCGUUUCUCCCUCAAACCGCUGGGUUUGGUGUUGAGCAAUACGACUUGGGUUUGCUUGAAAGACGGUAGUGGUAAGGCGGGAUCGCUUUGACAAUGGCUUAGGUCUAACCAAAAACAUUGCUUGCGGCGGUAACGUCUACCACGUAUAUCUUCAAACUUUGACCUCAAA
rnacentral:rRNA from 1 species